rnacentral:rRNA from 1 species
AUUGAACGCUGGCGGCAGGCCUAACACAUGCAAGUCGAGCGGUAGAGAGAAGCUUGCUUCUCUUGAGAGCGGCGGACGGGUGAGUAAUGCCUAGGAAUCUGCCUGGUAGUGGGGGAUAACGUUCGGAAACGGACGCUAAUACCGCAUACGUCCUACGGGAGAAAGCAGGGGACCUUCGGGCCUUGCGCUAUCAGAUGAGCCUAGGUCGGAUUAGCUAGUUGGUGGGGUAAUGGCUCACCAAGGCGACGAUCCGUAACUGGUCUGAGAGGAUGAUCAGUCACACUGGAACUGAGACACGGUCCAGACUCCUACGGGAGGCAGCAGUGGGGAAUAUUGGACAAUGGGCGAAAGCCUGAUCCAGCCAUGCCGCGUGUGUGAAGAAGGUCUUCGGAUUGUAAAGCACUUUAAGUUGGGAGGAAGGGCCAUUACCUAAUACGUGAUGGUUUUGACGUUACCGACAGAAUAAGCACCGGCUAACUCUGUGCCAGCAGCCGCGGUAAUACAGAGGGUGCAAGCGUUAAUCGGAAUUACUGGGCGUAAAGCGCGCGUAGGUGGUUUGUUAAGUUGGAUGUGAAAUCCCCGGGCUCAACCUGGGAACUGCAUUCAAAACUGACUGACUAGAG